UACGUAGGGUGCAAGCGUUAAUCGGAAUUACUGGGCGUAAAGCGUACGCAGGCGGCUUUGCAAGACAGGUGUGAAAUCCCCGGGCCUAACCUGGGAACUGCAUUUGUGACUGCAUGGCUAGAGUCUGUCAGAGGGGGGUGGAAUUCCACGUGUAGCAGUGAAAUGCGUAGAUAUGUGGAGGAAUACCGAUGGCGAAGGCAGCCCCCUGGGAUAACACUGACGCUCAUGCACGAAAGCGUGGGGAGCAAACAGG
rnacentral:rRNA from 1 species